GAAACUGGGGAUAAUACCGGAUAGGCAAUUUUUCCUGGAAUGGUUUUUUGUUUAAAUGUUUUUUCGCCUAAGGAUGGGUCUGCGGCCGAUUAGGUAGUUGGUUAGGUAACGGCUUACCAAGCCAUUGAUCGGUACGGGUUGUGAGAGCAAGAGCCCGGAGAUGGAACCUGAGACAAGGUUCCAGGCCCUACGGGGUGCAGCAGGCGCGAAACCUCCGCAAUGUGAGAAAUCGCGACGGGGGGAUCCCAAGUGCCAUUCUUAACGGGAUGGCUUUUCAUUAGUGUAAAGAGCUUUUGGAAUAAGGGCUGGGCAAGACCGGUGCCAGCCGCCGCGGUAACACCGGCAGCUCUAGUGGUAGCAGUUUUUAUUGGGCCUAAAGCGUCCGUAGCCGGUUUAAUAAGUCUCUGGUGAAAUCCUGUAGCUUAACUGCGGGAAUUGCUGGAGAUACUAUUAGACUUGAGACCGGGAGAGGUUAGAGGUACUCCCAGGGUAGAGGUGAAAUUCUGUAAUCCUGGGAGGACCGCCUGUUGCGAAGGCGUCUAACUGGAACGGUUCUGACGGUGAGGGACGAAAGUUAGGGGCGCGAACCGGAUUAGAUACCCGGGUAGUCCUAACUGUAAACGAUGCGGACUUGGUGUUGGGGUGGCUUUGAGCUGCUCCAGUGCCGAAGGGAAGCUGUUAAGUCCGCCGCCUGGGAAGUACGGUCGCAAGACUGAAACUUAA
rnacentral:rRNA from 1 species